AGGACGAACGCUGGCGGCGUGCUUAACACAUGCAAGUCGAGCGGUAAGGCCUUUCGGGGUACACGAGCGGCGAACGGGUGAGUAACACGUGGGUGAUCUGCCCUGCACUCUGGGAUAAGCCUGGGAAACUGGGUCUAAUACCGGAUAUGACCUGCUCUCGCAGUGGGGGUGGGUGGAAAGAUUUAUCGGUGCAGGAGUCGGGCCCGGCGGCCUAUCAGUCGUUUGGUUUGGUUAGGGGUAAGUCGGUCCCUACCGAAGGCGGACGGACGGGUAGCCCGGACCUGAGGAGGGUCGACCCGGCCACACUGGGACUGGAGACCGACGGACCCCUAGACCU
rnacentral:rRNA from 1 species